UCAAGCCAUUUUGGUAGGCCGUACAUGGUGGUUUCAUAUUUCUCCUCGUGGAAAAAAAAUAUCCCUCGCUGCAUUUCUAACAGUGCAUUUGAGACGAGACAAGCGUUUUGUUGCAGUUGGAUAACUUCAUUAGCCACACUAGCAUCGAGGACAUCGUUUUGUUGGAUCAGUUAGCGUGGGGCCGUGCGCAGUUGUUAUCACGCGGCGCAGCUGCACGGUAGUUGUCCAGUGUAACGACACAGGUCUCUGUGGUCCCGACGAACAAAGGAACAGCAAGGCCGAUGCACGCUCGCGAGCGGUGCGAAUAUUAUUUAUAAAAUAACUCGAGGUUUAACCCCUCUGAAAGCCUUUUUUGUUUAUAUUUUAAUUUGACACGUCUUUUCCUAAAAUAUAACGAACCAAUUGGCGUGACUGCUACAGUGCUGUUAGCAACAUCGGCUACCGUUAGUCGUUAUUGUGGACAACCAACCGAGCUGCUGAUUGCUAACCGUUAGCAUUGUUUUGAUUCGCGGGAGGAGUUUUCUGUUUGGGCAAAAUGGCGGAAGUCUAUAUUCGGGUGGCAGAGGAGGAAAACGAGGAACCCAUGGAGAUACCGUCCGAGGACGACGGCACGGUUCUGCUUUCCACUGUGGCCGCUCAGUUCCCAGGGGCGUGCGGCCUACGCUUCAGGAGCCCCGUGUCUCAGUGCAUGCGAGGAGUGCGUCUCGUGGAAGGGGUCCUCCACGCGCCAGAGAACGGAUGGGGGAACGUGGUGUAUGUGGUGAACUAUCCAAAAGACAACAAAAGGAAAAUGGAAGAGAUUGACGCCUCCUCCGCUGUGAAAAUGAAGAGGGGCGACAUGAAGACGUCUGAUCUGAUCGUACUGGGUCUUCCUUGGAAAACGAGUGAGCAGGACCUGAAAGACUACUUUAGCACAUUUGGAGAAGUCAUCAUGGUCCAGGUAAAACGAGACGCCAAGACUGGAAACUCCAAAGGAUUUGGCUUUGUGAGAUUUACAGAGUAUGAGUCACAAGAAAAGGUGGUCUCCCAGCGCCACAUGAUUGACGGGAGAUGGUGUGACUGCAAGCUCCCUAACUCAAAGCAGGGUCCCGAUGAGCCUUUGAGGAGCCGGAAAGUGUUUGUAGGCCGUUGCACAGAAGACAUGACCACCGACGACCUACGGCAGUUCUUCAUGCAGUAUGGUGAAGUCACAGAUGUGUUCAUCCCAAAGCCAUUCCGGGCUUUUUCCUUUGUCACAUUUGCAGAUGAUCAGGUUGCCCAGGGUCUUUGUGGCGAGGACCUGAUUAUCAAAGGUGUCAGUGUUCACAUCUCAAAUGCUGAGCCCAAACACGGCAAUAGGCAGUUUGAUCGUACAACGCGGUUUGGGAAUGGUUUUGGAGCUCAAGCAUUUGGUGGUGGUGGUGGUGGUGGUGGUGGUGGUGGUGGUAGCAGCAGCCGUAGUGGGUUAGGGGGGAGCAGCACUAACAGUAGUCUGGCUAAUUUUGGUUCCUUCAGUCUGAACCCUGCUAUGAUGGCUGCUGCUCAGGCGGCCCUGCAGAGUAGUUGGGGGAUGAUGGGUAUGCUGGCUAGCCAGCAGCAGACAUCCACCUCAGGCAGCACCCCCAGCGGAACCAGUUCUAGUCGGGACCAGAGUCAGUCUUUCAGUGCAGGCGGCAACAGCAACUACGGCACCGGCUCAGCCAGUCUCGGCUGGGGAACAGGGUCAAACUCUGCAACCAGCGGUAGUGGGUUUAGUUCAGGUUUUGGGUCCAGUAUGGAGUCAAAGUCAUCUGGGUGGGGUAUGUAAUUUAAUUAUUUGUAUGGUAAGUAUUGUGACAGAGAUGAGUCUUUUUAAAAGUUAAUUUCUGGUGUUGAUGCGUAUCUGAAAACUUAACACUUUUGUGGAAGAUGUUUUGUACAUUUGGAAAAAAUGCUAAAGAUUUAAUUUAGAAAGUGUUGAAGUGAAUCGUUUCCCAGGAUGUUUGACGAAAGUGCUAUUUUUGAUGUCUCAUUUGUUUGUAUCCAUUUCAACUGGAUUCUCUAAUGCAUGUAUUGUGAAAUGUGUUAACCAUUUUGAAAAUGCAUGAAUGUUUGUGUUUCACCAUUAUCCGGCUUUGUCAUCAACUUAAAAGGCAAUCUUGCAUUGGGAAGAAUCUGGUUGAAAGCUAAAUGUUUUAAGUGCAACUUUAUUUACAGUCAAGUUCUGUGGAAACGCCUUCAUUGAAAUCUCUUCUGCAGUUCACCUCUCUUCCAUUUUCCUGUGAGGAAGCUCCUCUUUGGCAGCAUUCUUGGGGUGAUAUCGGUAUCAUUCUCCCUCUUCCCACCUGUAAAUGCUAUGCCAUCAAAGAACGGCUUCACUCCGCAUGUUCUGAGAGACGGGACCUUGGGCUCUGCUGGUCGAGGUCUCCGUUUGAACCCUGACUGAAGGAUGAAGACGGAAGUUGCAACACUUUCAGUGUGUGCGGCCUUCUCAGACAUGACACGGGGUAGUACCUGUCUUUUUGCUGCAUUUGAUAGCUUGUCCGAGUUAAUGAUCCCUUUUUGAUUUUCCACAGCUACUUUUAAGUUGGGAGGGAAGUUCUGAAGGGUUCUUUGUAUGUAGAUGAGCUCAACAAUGUGUCAUCACCUCAAGAGUGUUUAGUUGUCUUCGAUUUGUUUUAAGUAAUGAAACGAUGGCACGUUGCUGAGCUUUGUAAUUGGUGAUUUUUAGAUGGCCAGAUGCACUUAGUGCUGCUUUUCUAGCUCCACCUGUUCAAUCCAACCGUCAUGUCUACAUUUAGGGAGUUUAACAUGUUGCAUUUUAUAGACAUUGUUGUAAAUGUGUAAAUUCAAUGUUUAACUCUGAGGUCAUUGGUGGUGGCUACAUUAUGUUGGGAUGUCUCUAAUGUUUGGUCCUCAUUUACAUACACGAGGGGGUGGAAGAUUAGACGCCUGAAUAUAGUGUAGAACAGCAACACUAACUGUGGAGGUCAUAGGUUAACAAAGUAUCAACAAAAAAGUCAAAGAAAUGAGUAGAUUUAUUGGAUUGCAUUUGAUUAUGCAGGUGUACCUAAUAAAGUGGUCACCGAGUGUACAUAAUGGAUAGUUUGCCUGACAGUAACUACAUUUGAGUUUUCCCGAAGUGUGAAAAACAUUCGGCUCAUUUGUCGGUUUGGAAAAACAAGGCAGGUAUAUUGUUUAGCACAGUUCUUUAUUGUAUCUUUAUUUAUACUUUAUAAUGUUGCAUACAUCAUGUUUGUCAUAAUAGUGCCAAUGCACUACGACAUGACGAUGCAUCAACAGGACCCACGACAAAUAAGUCAGAAGUUAUUUUCUCCAAACCAGACAGUGUACAUAAAACGACUUUUAUAUAAGAUUUAAUUCUGUGGAAUGCUAAUUACCAUAAACAGUGGCACUGAAGUUAUUGUCAUGUGUUAGUGGGCUUUCAUGUUUAUUUGAAUGUUGGGCGCCAGUGAGACUGCAGGUCUGUCUUGUCCUUAUUCUCUGCUCUCCUCAGUGUCUCUGCUUCUCCUCUUCCCAGUAUUCUUCUUUUUCAAAUCCCGCUGCUCCAGGUUCAGUUCUUCACUUUUAUUUUGUAUGUGGAUCAACUGAAAUAAAUAAAGGCAAAUUAAACAUUA